rnacentral:rRNA from 1 species
GACGAACGCUGGCGGCGUGCCUAAUACAUGCAAGUAGAACGCUGAAGGAGGAGCUUGCUUCUCUGGAUGAGUUGCGAACGGGUGAGUAACGCGUAGGUAACCUGCCUGGUAGCGGGGGAUAACUAUUGGAAACGAUAGCUAAUACCGCAUAAUAUUGACUAUUGCAUGAUAGUCAGUUGAAAGGUGCAACUGCACCACUACCAGAUGGACCUGCGUUGUAUUAGCUAGUUGGUGGGGUAACGGCUCACCAAGGCGACGAUACAUAGCCGACCUGAGAGGGUGAUCGGCCACACUGGGACUGAGACACGGCCCAGACUCCUACGGGAGGCAGCAGUAGGGAAUCUUCGGCAAUGGACGGAAGUCUGACCGAGCAACGCCGCGUGAGUGAAGAAGGUUUUCGGAUCGUAAAGCUCUGUUGUAAGAGAAGAACGAGUGUGAGAGUGGAAAGCUCACACUGUGACGGGAUCUUACCAGAAAGGGACGGCUAACUACGU